CUUCCUUCUUUCUUCUUCUUCUUCUUCUUCUUCUUCUUUGGCGUCUUAGAGAAGAAAUCUCUGUUGAGAAAACUUUACCGAAAAUUAGUGAAGUCAAUCAAUCGAGUGGGAUGUUUAUGAUCUCAGAGUUUGGGUUUCGUUAGAAUCCUGAAGAGAUGUUUCUGUGAAAGUUAGAGUUUUCAAAAGAGGUUUGAAUUUAUGAGAAAUUGAUAAUUAGAAGAUGGGUUUUCAUUAUUGAGAACAAGGAAGAAGAAUUAUCAAAUGAUUCACCGAAUUGUAGUGAAGAAUCAAAGAAAUUAGCGUUUAGUUUUUGGUCUGAAGAACAAGGAAUUAAUCUUGGAGUUAGGGUUUCAGUAAUUGAAUUUGAGAAUUCGAUUAAGGGUGAAUAAAGAGAAGUUAGGAGAUGGGUUUGUUCUUAUUUGGUGGUUGAUGGAAGCUGUGGUGAUGUUUUUGAUUGAAUUAGUGAGUUGGGGUUUAUGGUUUUGGGAGCUGAUGAAGAACUUGGAUUGGAGUCUCGUGUUAAGAAGGUGAUGGUGUUACUAUUGAUGUUGGAUCGAACUUAGGAAGAACGGAAAGGGUUCUCGGUGAAUUCAUUUGGGAAUGAAGUUUUGUUGGUUAGAAUUAUGAACUGUAGAUGGUGUUGUUGAACUAGUGGAGGUGCAAAUGUUUGUUAAGUGUAGAUGGAGAGUGUAUUGCAGUUCUGGUAGUACAUGAGAUUGAUUAGGUUGUGUCUGAGAUGGGUGUUUGGGUUGUUGUAGUGAUGAAUAUUAUGGAAUUGGAAAUGAUGAAGGAUCUGAAGUUGAACCAGACUUUGUAGGUACUUUAACGGAAUUAGUGGUUUGGUAUUGUCAUUGCAUUCUAGUUAAUUGCAGUUAGAGUUGGAGAUAGUCUGGUGGUGUUGUGGGAAUUGUUGUAAGUGCGGGUGUAUGUGAAAUAAAGUUGAAGCUGAGUUGGUUUGGGUGAAUGAGAUGGAGAUUGAUACAGAUUGGGAGGAUGUGCAUUUGAGUUAUGCUCAACUAACAUUGGUGGUGCUGAGACAAUUUUUAAUUGUGAAUGGAAGUUCAAGAAUUGUUGUAGAGGAGUAAUCUGGUGGGGGUUUAGAUAUUGAAUUUAAAUGGAUAUCAUUCAUAACUCUUUGGUGGUGAUUGCAGAGUUGUAUAUUCUAAAUGCUGUGAAAGCUUGCUACUACUGCUUUUGCAGUUUCAGAGAGAGGUCAGAGUUGCGCAACGAAAGCUCCGAGAAAUUUAGUCUGUUUUUUAGUUUACUUCGGCUAUGUUUAUUAUGUUGUAUAUUAUAUUUGUAAACCAUAUGACUAUUGUAUAUGUAUCAUUUGUGAGACGUUCUUAUAUAUAUAUAUUUCUGAGCGGGGCUAGUUUUGUGUUAA